rnacentral:lncRNA from 1 species
GAUGGGAAGGUGGUGAUAAUUAUGGAAUAAGGAAUCUAACAUAAUAAAGUCAUAGUUUAAAAAAAUUUUAUUUGCUUAUAUAUUUUUGGCCUUUUGAAAUAGGGUCUAGGGUCUCACUGUGUAGCUCAGGCUGGCCUCAAAUUUGUGAUCCUGCUCCCUCAGCUUCCCAAGUGCUAAUAUUACAGAUAUAUACCAAGGCUAUAGUUUAGAACCCCUGAGACCUGAAUUUGAACCCUUGGAUCUUUCACACCAGUUAUGUGACCUGGACCUCAAACUUGUACUGAACAUUUCUGAGCUUCAGUUGCUGGAUCUGAAACAUAAGAAGGUGGUACCUCAUAAAGCUGUGUGAGGACUGAUUAGAACUUUCAUGCAACAAAUAUUUAUUGAAUGCAUUUUCUGUGUAAAAGUUUUAGGAAUACAAAGAAGAAGAGAAAGACCUAUCCCCUCCUCAGAGGUCACAUCUCUGUGCUAGAUGUCUAACAGAGUAGCUAUGCAAUAAAUGUAGCUUCUCCUUUGCCAAGGAAGUGGGAGAGCCUCCUGGGGAAAGGAAUUGACCCAAAACUACAUGAAGCCAUCAGGACCUGGACAUUUCUUUGUUGG